GUCUGCACAGAAGGAGACUCCACAACGCCCUUGGCCACCUGGUCCAGGCUCUGGCACCCUCACCAUGAAGAAGUUUCUUCUCACAUGAGGCGCGGAACUGACCUUAAAACCCUUGAGGUUGUAGGGAAGGCACCUCUCCCGUUUCCCAAGACUUGGCAAAGAUGAUGGAGAAUGGUCCAGCAAUGACUUCAGCCAGUUGCCUCAGCACCCGCGGGUGCAUCCCAUCCGACCCAUGGAUUUAUGGAUGUCCAGAUGACUUAAUUGCUCCCUAACCCAGUCCUCAUCAGCCGAGGCAAACUCCUCCAUUGUCCUGCCUUCCUGUGGGGCCUCAGGGGUACGAGGCUCCUCAGAACAGCCUCAGGCAGUGGAGACAGAGACAAAAAAGGCAUUUAGUAAUCCUACCUUCUCUGUAUCUUCUCUGUAUCUUUCCCUCUUAUUAUGUUUAGUAGCAGGUUUGAUCGCUUGCUUUGCACAGGUAUUCAGUCUCGGUGGCACAGCCCCUUACUAGUUACUUUUAAAAAUGAGUUAAAUGACUGAUCGAUUCCUUGUGGAGAAGCGAAGGUGGCGUCUCAUCCCUUUAAAAGCAACUUUCGGUCAGGAAAGACACGCAAGUAAUAACAGUGCUUCACAUUUUUAAUACAGAGUUUUGCCCAUGAUUGUCUUUUAGAAAUAUUAGGUAAUUAAAUUGUCAAGCACAGAGUGAGUGAAUGUCUUCACUGAAAGCACCAGCUUCUGGGAGCAAACUAAGAGAAAAUUUACACAGUAAUACUCCUAAGAAUUGAAGAUCAGAAAAGAAGAAUGUCAAACCAAGCUACUGUGCAAGCAUAUUAUUAUAUAUGAAGCACUAUGGUUGGAACAAAGGGCUGUAUCAGCCAUACAGAAGGAAUGGUCCUGUCAGAAACUGCUUCCAGCUUCAGGCAUGGAAAAAUGCUGUCCUGUUAUUAAACUUUCAACAGAGCUGUUGCCCAAGGAGAACUUGCAGAAUUUAACUCAGAUAAAGUUUAACACAAUUAAAUGCAUUUAAGAUAUCAAAAUAGCAGUAGCAAGCAAUUGGUAAAGAACAGAAUAUGGGAAUGUGCCAAGAUGCUGAGCGGUCUGGAGCAUCUUUCUAAUGAGGAGAGACUGAGAGAGCUGGGGCUGUUCAGCUGGAGAAGAGAAGCUGAGAGGGAUCUUAUCAAUGUGAUAAAUAUCUCCAGGGUGGGUGUCAAGAGGAUGGGCCAGACUCUGUUCAGUGGUGCCCAAUGACAGGGUGAGGGGCAACGGGCACAGACUGAAGCACAGGAGGUUCCAUCUGAAUAUGAGGAGAAACUUCUUUCCUUUGAGGUGCCAGAGCCUGGCCCAGGCUGCCCAGAGAGGUUGUGGAGUCUCCUUCUGUGAGACAUUCAAACCCGCCUGGACACGAUCCUGUGUGAUCUGCUCUGGUGACCCUGCUUGAGCAGGUGGGUUGGACUGGAUGAUCUCCAGAGGCCCCUUCCGACCCCAGCCAGUCUAGAAUUCUCUGAUCCUGUAAUGUGAUUAGGAAAUUCUGACCCGCAUAUAUAUAUAUUUUAUCCAACAGCAAUUUCAGUGGUCAUAACUGGCCAGCGGGAGUUCAGAAUUACCUGUUACCUCGAAGGCAUUACUCAUUUUAUCAAAGAGCAAGUAUUAGUUGCACCAUACUCCUGAAAGCAGUACUGUAACAGAGGAAAAGCUCCAUCGGAGAGCUCCAGAGCUUCUUCAGCCAGAUAUGUAACAAAUUCAAACUGAACAGGCUAUAAGCUCAAUGUGUUUGCUGCCUUAGCUGUGCCUGUAUUCAAAACAAAAUAAUGUAUUUGACCAAAGUCUUUGCCAAGAAAGAAAAAGGCUGAGAGCUUCUUAUCAUUCAGUCCCUGUGACUUUACACAUGCUGUUUUAUUCAUCUCUUUUCCAAAACAAGAGGAAAUGUUUACUAGAUAUUUUCCUGGCAAGAUUUUUGUAACCAAAGGCUCAUUUUUCUUUUAGUGUAUCUUCCAGGGGUCAUGAAUUAGACCUCAGAGAGCUUCCUUUAAUCAACCUGGUUGUAUCACAGAGGAGGAAAAACGCUGUUAUUUUGUUCUGAGGAACUGGGCAGUGCUUGUGUGGUAUUCUUUAUACAGAGUGGACUUCAGCUCUGUGCACGGUUCUCAGCCAACAUGGCGAGUUCUUUCUGAAGACCUGAUAGCUGAUUACAAAAGCUUCUCCUUGUGCCUGUGUGUGUGCACACACAUUUUUAAGAACUAUUUUGCACAGCUCAUGCUCAGCCGUGAUCCUAUAAAUGUAAUUGAAAUUAACAUUAUUUUCCUCUCUUUUUUUUCCUCAAGUUAUGCCAGUCUGUGUAGGAAAACAAACCUUACAGAACUGUUGAAUAGCUUCCAAGUUAACAGCCUCUCUGAAAAUUCCCCUCAGUAUUUACUGACUUGCCAUCUUCAUGGGCAUUUUAUUCUUUACAUAACCUCUUUUCCAUUUAAAAAUGACAGCUCUUACACAACUUAUCUUUCAACCUGUACAUUACCUACAAAAAUCUUAUUGCAGGCGCUAGCCAUUCCUCUUCCCACAUUUUUAUUUUACUAAGAGCACAGCGUUGUUUUGCAUUUCUGAAGCAAUGACUGUCCCCAUUCUCUCCUCCACAGCAUCACCUUCAGCCAUAGAUAUGGAGAGUGCCGUACCUAACAUUGUCUGGUUGUAAUUUCGCUAAAAUAAAUCAACAUAAUCAAC